rnacentral:sRNA from 1 species
AAGGGACCAGAUGGGUCGGGCAGAAAGCCGCGCUCCCACGAGGGUCACCGCGGCGGGGAGAGGUGGAGCCGCGAGAGCUCGGCCGGGGGCCCCGCCGGGUGGUCGCGGCCAUGACAGCGGCUCGGGACAGGUUCCUUUUCCGCGCCCCUCCCGCCUGAGAUGAGGGAAAGAUGUCCCUGUCAGCGUUCAAGGCCAAACUGAAGUUGCCGGCCUCUAUCUUCCACGAGAACCAGGAGCCACAGCCGCGGCUCACGCUCCACCGCAACAUCAAGAUUACAAGUGGACACCUGAGUCAGCAGGACCUGGAAUCCCAGAU